rnacentral:rRNA from 2 species
GACGUAGGAGGCGAGCGUUGUCCGGAUUCAUUGGGCGUAAAGAGCACGCAGGCGGUUUGGCAAGUCGGAUGUGAAAGCCCGGAGCUCAACUCCGGACCUGCAUCCGAAACUGCCCGACUAGAGGUAGGUAGGGGAGAUCGGAAUUCCUGGUGUAGCGGUGAAAUGCGCAGAUAUCAGGAGGAACACCGGUGGCGAAGGCGGAUCUCUGGGCCUUACCUGACGCUCAGGUGCGAAAGCUAGGGGAGCGAACAGG